CCCUGCCAUUUGUACACACCGCCCGUCGCACCUACCGAUUGGACGAUCCGGCGAGAUGUUUGGAGUUGCGUUUGCUGUGUCUCGGCACGGCUCAUGCGACGAAACUCCUCAAACCUUAUCGUCUAGAGGAAGGU
rnacentral:rRNA from 1 species